rnacentral:snRNA from 1 species
ACGUCACGUCAACUCACACGACU